rnacentral:misc_RNA from 1 species
GUAAUAUGUUGUGGUGGAGUUCCUUUGAUACUUUUAAAAGUGUUGUUAACUUGUUAUGGAACAGCGCUUUAGUAUUUCAUUAAAGUUUAUGAAUUAUUGAAAGAUCUUGCUAUUUGUUCAUUGUGUCUCAAACUCAAUGCAAUUUAAGUAGCAAUGAAAGAUCACUUUUGACAUGUUGCGGUUUCUUUGGAGUUUUAAACCAUUGUUGUAUAGUUGCCUUAUUUCAGUUAGAU